rnacentral:rRNA from 3 species
UCGACCGCCUGGGGAGUACGGCCGCAAGGUUAAAACUCAAAUGAAUUGACGGGGGCCCGCACAAGCGGUGGAGCAUGUGGUUUAAUUCGAUGCAACGCGAAGAACCUUACCUGGUCUUGACAUCCACAGAACUUUCCAGAGAUGGAUUGGUGCCUUCGGGAACUGUGAGACAGGUGCUGCAUGGCUGUCGUCAGCUCGUGUUGUGAAAUGUUGGGUUAAGUCCCGCAACGAGCGCAACCCUUAUCCUUUGUUGCCAGCGGUCCGGCCGGGAACUCAAAGGAGACUGCCAGU